AGUGAACGCUGGCGGUAGGCCUAACACAUGCAAGUCGAACGGCAGCACAGUAAGAGCUUGCUCUUACGGGUGGCGAGUGGCGGACGGGUGAGGAAUACAUCGGAAUCUACUUUUUCGUGGGGGAUAACGUAGGGAAACUUACGCUAAUACCGCAUACGACCUACGGGUGAAAGCAGGGGAUCUUCGGACCUUGCGCGAUUGAAUGAGCCGAUGUCGGAUUAGCUAGUUGGCGGGGUAAAGGCCCACCAAGGCGACGAUCCGUAGCUGGUCUGAGAGGAUGAACAGACACACUGGAACUGAGACACGGUCCAGACUACUACGGGAGGCAGCAGUGGGGAAUAUUGGACAAUGGGCGCAAGCAUGAUACAGCAAUACCGCGUGGGUGAAGAAGGACUUCGGGUUGUAAAGCCCUUUUGUUGGGAAAGAAAAGCAGCAGGUUAAAACCACGCUGUUAUGACGGUAACCAAAGAAUAAGCACCGGCUAACUUCGUG
rnacentral:rRNA from 1 species